UACGUAGGAGGCAAGCGUUGUCCGGAGUUACUGGGCGUAAAGCGCACGCAGGCGGUCGCAUUAGUCUGGGGUGACAGUUCCCGGCUUAACCGGAAAAGGACUCUGGAAACUGUGCGACUUGAGGGCUUCAGAGGGAUGUGGAAUUCCAGGUGGAGUGGUGAAAUGCGUAGAGAUCGGGAGGAACACCUGUGGCGAAGGCGGCCCCCUGGGCCGCGCCUGACGCUGAGACACGAAAGCGUGGGGAGCAAACAGG
rnacentral:rRNA from 1 species